AAGGGUAUGGCUUAGUGGUAGAGCACUUGCUUAGUACGCAUGAGGUCCUGGGUUCAACCCUAGUACCUCCA
rnacentral:tRNA from 1 species